rnacentral:rRNA from 1 species
AUUGACCGCUGGCGGCAGGCCUAACACAUGCAAGUCGAGCGAGCGGCGGACGGGUGAGUAAUGUAUGGGGACUGCCCGAUAGCGGGGGAUAACUACUGGAAACGGUAGCUAAUACCGCAUACUAUCGGAUAACCCAUAUGGGAUUAGCUAGUAGGUGCGGUAAUGGCUAACCUAGGCGACGCUCCCUAGAUGGUCUGCGAGGAUGAGCAGCCACACGUGGACUGAGAAACGGCCCAGAAUCACACGGAGGCAGCAGGGGUGAAGAGUGCACAAUGGGCGCAAGCCUGAUGCAGCCAUGCCGCGUGUAUGAAGAAGGCCCUAGGGUUGUAAAGUACUUUCAGUCGGGAGGCGUUACCGACAGAAGAAGCACCGGCUAACUCCGUGCCAGCAGCCGCGGUAAUUC